CAGCAGCCGCGGUAAUACGAAGGGGGCUAGCGUUGUUCGGAAUUACUGGGCGUAAAGCGCACGUAGGCGGAUUGUUAAGUCGGGGGUGAAAUCCCAGGGCUCAACCCUGGAACUGCCUCCGAUACUGGCAUUCUCGAGUCCGGGAGAGGUGAGUGGAAUUCCGAGUGUAGAGGUGAAAUUCGUAGAUAUUCGGAAGAACACCAGUGGCGAAGGCGGCUCACUGGCCCGGAACUGACGCUGAGGUGCGAAAGCGUGGGGAGCAAACAGG
rnacentral:rRNA from 1 species